GUUGGGUUAGUGCCCGGGAAUGCAUCUUUAGACACGGACCCUUGGAGAGCACCUCUCCGCGGAGGCCUCGGGGCACAGGGCAGUUAGAAAGGGACCGAGAUGAAGGAGACGGAGCCCUGCUUCCGGGGCCUUGCGGGGGAGAGAGAAGACACACCGCCUAUCCGCAAGUGGAAAUAUAAAAGGAGAAAAGACCUGGGGGAGCAUUUUGCUGGGCUACGCGUGCAAGUAGCCGUAACACGAGGUUGAAUUUGGAAGGUGCCCCAAGGAAGUUUCCUUAGCAACUUUUUAUAAUGGCAGAGGCAGACAGGUAUUGCCGUGCUACGUACGAGUCAGAGGACAGACGGGGGGAGGCCCGUUUUAGAGCUGAUGCCAGAGGAAGACAGUGUGUUUACCGGCAACGGUGAGAACUUGGCCAGUUCCUGUGGAUCAGGAAGUCAGAAGUGACUUAGCUGUGUAGACUCUGGCCUGGAUUCUUUCCUGAAGUUGCAAUCAAGAUGCCAGCCAGGUCUGAAAUCAUCUGAAGGCUUGUCUGGAGCUGGGGAGUCCCCUUCCAAGAUGGCUCGCUCGCAUGGCUGUUGGCGGGAGCCUCAGCUCUUCGCCAUGAGGACCACUCUAUGGGGCUGCUUGAGCAUCCUCACACCAUGGAGAUGGGCUUCCCCCAGAGCAAGGGAGAGCAAGGUGGAAGCCACAUUGUGUUUUAUACCUAGCUCCAGAAGUCAUGCACCAUGGUUUCCUGAAUAGCUUGUUGUUUACACGAGUCAGCCCUGCUGGGAGGGGACCACACAAGGAAGUGAAUACGAGGAGCUGAAAAUCAUGGGGCCAUGUUGGAGGUGGGCUAUCACACUGGUAAUCAUUGUUGACUUGUUUACUAUUAUUUGGAAGAUUCUGGAUCUCAAAUCAAAUCCAGUGUUCAAAAGUGGGCUGCGAACACAAAAAAGUUGGGAGCUGCUCAUCCAAUGGCUUCAUUUCAUCUGUAUCUGCCUGUGGGGUCCCCUGGGGGGCCAUGACUCCAGCAGUGUCCCAAGAUGACCCCAUCAGAAAUAAACCUCUACCAUCCCAUGACACUGAAAGCCUGUUAUCUGUGCCAGGUGCCAGCAAAGCACAGAUGCAUAGGAAGAAGCAGGAACUUUGCAGCCAGACGGAACUGUGUUCAAAUCCUGACUCCCCUCUUGAUGACCUGGGGACUCUGGACGAUUGGCUUAACCUCUCUGAGCCUGAGUGUGGUCGGGUGUAAAAUGGAUUGAGAUCAACUUCACAGGGUCGUUAGGGAGAUGAAAUACAGGAUGACAGAGCAAUGAUAAUAGGAGUCAGGUGAUCUGCCAAUGUUGACCCCUAGAUUUAUUAUUCAUACUGAUAACAAUAAAAUAAUAAUAAUAGCUCACAUUUAUUGACCUCCUAUUAUUGUCAGUCUCUGAAGCUUAAAGCAGUUAAGAACUUUGUCCAAAACACACUGCUGGGAGAGCUGAGACCCACACUCAGUUCUGUCUCUCUCCAAAGCGAAACUGUGUGACAACAAGCUCUUUUCUUAAUAACGGUCUGCAAUGAUCUACACAUUAUGUGGUUCUACCGCCUUCCUUUUCCUCUGUCUCUUUUUUGGCCACUUAGUAGUAUAAGGACGUACCAUAAUUGGUCAAUGAUUUCCCCUGUUGUUGGAUACUCAGUUUCUGCUUUCCACUAUUAACAGUGGGGCGUCAGCGAGCAUCUUUGCUGUGCAGGUGUUUGCCCAGGGCUCACCACAUGCCAGGGGCUGCGCUAAGCACUUGAUGUGUGUCCCACAUUUAAUCCUCCACCAGCCUGAGGACACCCAGCUAGGAAAUGACACUUUCAGGCUCUUACUUGUCUAAUAGAGUGCCUUUUAAGGGUUGAGAGUCCCUUACCUUCUCCAUCCUGAAGAUCUUCCUUCCAAUAGGGCCCCCAAGGAGUGCCUGUGUUUUCCCUGCAGCAGGUGCAUGAGAGACCAGAGGGCUUGGAGUCUGCAAACCCGGGUUUAACAAAAGGACAGCUCUUGACGGGUUACCACCAGGCUCACAGCAGCCAGGGCUCACCAGAUGUGGCCCUGCAUCAGUCAGGAAAGGCCAGGUUAUGCUGUGGUAACAAACGAUCCCAAGAGAGUGGCUUAAAACAUCCAUUGUGGGAAUGUGAUGGGCUCCGUUUUACGUUGCCCUUACUCUGGGCCCCAACUUGAUAGAGCAGCCAUGGGCGUGAUCACCGCCAGUCACCAUUCCAGGAGGCCAGAGGGCAUGUAGGCAAUUGCGCGCUGGAUCCUAAAGCUUUGCCUGGAAGGGACUCGUUCCUUCCUCUCACUUUGCUUUUUUGAUAAAGCAAGUCAUAUAGGCAUGCUUAACCCCGAAAGGACAUGUGCCCCCAGUGGAGAGAACUGUAAUAUUUGGUGAGCGGCACUGAUGACCACCACAGGCUGUGUCCUCUGCUGACCAUUGAGAAAGAGGCUGACAAUCCUAACCACAUUUUAGAACAAUUGAGUCCAGGCCAGAAGUGCCCUUAGCAUUCUUUCCCCAGGAAAGACCCCUGCCUCUAAACCCCGUCGUGCCCACACCAUGAAGCCCA
ensembl:lncRNA